rnacentral:rRNA from 1 species
GUCCCGGUUUAAGCGUGUAGGUGUGUGUUCCAGGUAAAUCCGGUUCACUUUAACACUGAGGCGUGAUGACGAGGCACCACGGUGCUGAAGCAACAAAUGCCCUGCUUCCAGGAAAAGCCUCUAAGCAUCAGGUAACAUCAAAUCGUACCCCAAACCGACACAGGUGGUCAGGUAGAGAAUACCAAGGCGCUUGAGAGAACUCGGGUGAAGGAACUAGGCAAAAUGGUGCCGUAACUUCGGGAGAAGGCACGCUGACACGUAGGUGAAGUGAUUUACUCAUGGAGCUGAAGUCAGUCGAAGAUACCAGCUGGCUGCAACUGUUUAUUAAAAACACAGCACUGUGCAAACACGAAAGUGGACGUAUACGGUGUGACGCCUGCCCGGUGCCGGAAGGUUAAUUGAUGGGGUCAGCGCAAGCGAAGCUCCUGAUCGAAGCCCCGGUAAACGGCGGCCGUAACUAUAACGGUCCUAAGGUAGCGAAAUUCCUUGUCGGGUAAGUUCCGACCUGCACGAAUGGCGUAAUGAUGGCCAGGCUGUCUCCACCCGAGACUCAGUGAAAUUGAACUCGCUGUGAAGAUGCAGUGUACCCGCGGCAAGACGGAAAGACCCCGUGAACCUUUACUAUAGCUUGACACUGAACAUUGAGCCUUGAUGUGUAGGAUAGGUGGGAGGCUUUGAAGCGUGGACGCCAGUCUGCGUGGAGCCGACCUUGAAAUACCACCCUUUAAUGUUUGAUGUUCUAACGUGGACCCGUAAUCCGGGUUGCGGACAGUGUCUGGUGGGUAGUUUGACUGGGGCGGUCUCCUCCUAAAGAGUAACGGAGGAGCACGAAGGUUGGCUAAUCCUGGUCGGACAUCAGGAGGUUAGUGCAAUGGCAUAAGCCAGCUUGACUGCGAGCGUGACGGCGCGAGCAGGUGCGAAAGCAGGUCAUAGUGAUCCGGUGGUUCUGAAUGGAAGGGCCAUCGCUCAACGGAUAAAAGGUACUCCGGGGAUAACAGGCUGAUACCGCCCAAGAGUUCAUAUCGACGGCGGUGUUUGGCACCUCGAUGUCGGCUCAUCACAUCCUGGGGCUGAAGUAGGUCCCAAGGGUAUGGCUGUUCGCCAUUUAAAGUGGUACGCGAGCUGGGUUUAGAACGUCGUGAGACAGUUCGGUCCCUAUCUGCCGUGGGCGCUGGAAGACUGAGGGGGGCUGCUCCUAGUACGAGAGGACCGGAGUGGACGCAUCACUGGUGUUCGGGUUGUCAUGCCAAUGGCACUGCCCGGUAGCUAAAUGCGGAAAAGAUAAGUGCUGAAAGCAUCUAAGCACGAAACUUGCCCCGAGAUGAGUCUUCCCUGAGACUUUGAGUCUCCUGAAGGAACGUUAAAGACGAUGACGUUGAUAGGCCGGGUGUGUAAGCGCAG